rnacentral:misc_RNA from 1 species
GUAGGUGAACCUGCGGAAGGAUCAUUACGGAGUUCAUGCCCCUACGGGUAGACCUCCCACCCUUGAAUUAUAUAACUUUGUUGCUUUGGCAGCCCUCACCGGCUGCUAGAGAAUAAACCAAACUCUUCUUAAAUAUAUCGUCUGAGUACUAUAAAAUAGUUAAAACUUUCAACAACGGAUCUCUUGGUUCUG